ACUACUCCCUCCUGGAGGACUAACAGACAUGGCCCCAAGCAUGGGUCUUGGAGAAACUGCAGAUUUUUAUUUAGAUUUAGAUUUUUCUUUCAGGAAGUCAGUGUUUGGAUGCUGGUGGUCAAGAGCGAGACCUGGAACCCCGGAAAGCACUGACUUUUAAAGAAAGAAAAGGAGACAGCCUGGGGGACAGCAGCAGUUUAAUUCCUCUGGCACUAUUCGACAAUCACAAAGGAAAGAAGCAAGGCUUUUAUACAGGUAGGAAAGCAACUUCGUUAUUCUGGCUAUUGUCUUUCUGUUUUUGACCUCUGAUGAUAACCAGUGACUUUAAGUGACUCAUAAAAGCUACAGGUGAAUUCACAAGUCCCAUUUCCCUUUAUCAAUCCCAUAUAUCAAAGAGCACACCGCAGCCCAGCCCUCUUCUUAUCAGAUAGUAUCAAGAGAGCAGGAUGACUUUAGCCAAAAUCAAGCCCACUGGCCCAUCAUAAACAUCACAGAUGUGCACAGUGAAUCGUAUCUCUCUUACCACCCGUAGAGUCAUUGGGUCCCGGUCCUCUGGUCCCAGAAAAUGGUAAAUAAGAAAAC
rnacentral:lncRNA from 1 species